CCGCACGGGUGAGUAACGCGUAUGCAACUUGCCUAUCAGGAGGGGAGAACCCGGCGAAAGUCGGACUAAUACCGCAUGAAGCAGGGAUCCCGCAUGGGAAUAUUUGCUAAAGAUUCAUCGCUGAUAGAUAGGCAUGCGUUCCAUUAGGCAGUUGGCGGGGUAACGGCCCACCAAACCGACGAUGGAUAGGGGUUCUGAGAGGAAGGUCCCCCACAUUGGUACUGAGACACGGACCAA
rnacentral:rRNA from 1 species